rnacentral:rRNA from 1 species
GACGAACGCUGGCGGCGUGCUUAACACAUGCAAGUCGAACGGUAAGGCCCUUCGGGGUACACGAGUGGCGAACGGGUGAGUAACACGUGGGUGAUCUGCCCUGCACUUCGGGAUAAGCCUGGGAAACUGGGUCUAAUACCGGAUAGGACCACUGCCUGCAUGGGUGGUGGUGGAAAGCUUUUGCGGUGUGGGAUGGGCCCGCGGCCUAUCAGCUUGUUGGUGGGGUGAUGGCCUACCAAGGCGACGACGGGUAGCCGGCCUGAGAGGGUGACCGGCCACACUCGGACUGAGAUACGGCCCAGACUCCUACGGGAGGCAGCAGUGGGGAAUAUUGCACAAUGGGCGCAAGCCUGAUGCAGCGACGUCGCGUGAGGGAUGACGGCCUUCGGGUUGUAAACCUCUUUCAGCACCGACGAAGCGCAAGUGACGGUAGGUGCAGAAGAAGGACCGGCCAACUACGUGCCAGCAGCCGCGGUAA